GGCCUUGAGCCCUGAGGAGGACAACAGGCCUCAGCUCUUGGCACCAAGCAGCUAUGAAGAGUCUGAGGCCUGGACCAUCCCAAAGCUGUAGCUUUCUCCAAGCCUGGUGGGCUCUGUCGUGGUGAAGAGUCUGAAGGCUUUUUCUUUUCCAGAUGUAAUUAUUAACCAACAUUCACAUCAGAUUCACAACUGGAAAGCCAGCUGUUAAACAUUUACCAGCACACUACUGGAAAGAUGUGCAUAUGGACUACUCCCUUGGGAUUCCAGAAGAAAGAACGUUAUAGAACACCUACAAUUUGGCAAUCAGGGGCCUGAGGUACAGCUGAAGUACAGCUAUGGAAGAGGAGAUGCUAAUUCCUGGAGAGAGAGCAACACAGAUUUUACAGUCAGCAGCCAGAGACUACCCUCAGAACAGGAAUGUGAAAAAUAAACCAGAUAUGCUAAAUUGAAAUCUGCCACUGGAUACCAACAAGGUUAAAUGGUGGAAAAUCCAUAAUCACUUCUAAAUUCAAGGGUAGGAUUAAUACUGUAUUUUCACAGUACCUGAAAGUUCUGUGGCCUUUCCUAGACACCAGUUCAUGUGAUCACCAGAACAGAACUGAGGUUGAGGAGAAAGUUAGCUAUCAGCAUUGGGCCCAUUUUACAGAUGGGAAACUGAGGCAGUGGAAGGUAAAGUAGUUUGCCCAAGGUUACUGUUUCUGCAUAAAUGGCUACCCUGGGACUAGGUGGGGACAGAACUACCACAGACUUGGGGGUCAGACAUACUUUGGUUAAAAACUCAACCUUGACAUUUAUGUAACGUUGGUAAUGUUACUUUACCUUUUUAAGCCUUGGGGUUUUUGUUUGUUUGUUUUUUUAAACUUACAAAAUGGGGAUGAUAAAGCCUAGAUCAUAAGUUUGCAGUAGGGUUAGU